CAUCUACUCCCUCCGUUCGGAAUUACUUGUCUCGAAAAUGGAUGUAUCUAGAACUAAAUUACAUCUAGAUACAUCUAUUUCUACGACAAGUAAUUCCGAACGGAGGGAGUAGAAA
rfam:Triticum aestivum genome assembly, contig: Triticum_aestivum_CS42_TGACv1_scaffold_148575_2BS